UAUUUUUUAUGCCCGUGUCACUUAUUUCAUUUCAUUCUAGACAUAACUUCGAUAUUGAAUCGUACACAUUCAGACAUUCAAGUGCAUGUUACUCCAAGCUCAAAGUCAGCUGGAACUGAAUAUUAACUACAUCGGAGAUCCGUCCAAAGAGCCAUUUGUCAAGAAACAAAAUAUAUUCUUGGACUUUCCCUACAGACUGAGGUGGUACAAUCAGAUUAAGUGGAAGAUACGCACAAAACUAACCAGUAAUCUAUAGGAAACCUUCAUUUCAGAUGGAAACAUAUCAUAUUAGGAGAUCGUAGACGCAAAAACGGAGACCAUCUAUUUUCAUCCUCAAGAAUUCCAUCCCUGGAAAUCCCUUGGACGCAAAAUGGAAAUGGAAAAUUUUCGCUAUUAUAUUCCUCUGCUCCCAGGCUGCUAGACGCUGGGUGAGAAAUAUUUCUACUGCACUAUUCCUAGUCGGAAGUCUUUAUAAAUAAUAUAAUACGUUCUAUUCCUGGGAAAAGUAAGCGCCUUGAGCGCUUUCACGCUAUACGUGAAGAGUCGCCUUUUUCACUUGAGAAAUGAACGAACGUACGGAGGAAAUUGAUUUUCAUUGCUUUUAGUUCAUAUUUUGAGUUUAAGAAGAAGUGGAUUCUUGAUGUAGGGGGUCCUUUGAAAAUAUAUGUUUCAAUCGAAUAAA